AUUUCGGUAGAAUUCUUAGUGGCGAACGGGUGAGUAACGCGUAGGCAACCUGCCCUUUAGACGGGGACAACAUUCCGAAAGGAGUGCUAAUACCGGAUGUGAUCAUCUUGCCGCAUGGCAGGAUGAAGAAAGAUGGCCUCUACAAGUAAGCUAUCGCUAAAGGAUGGGCCUGCGUCUGAUUAGCUAGUUGGUAGUGUAACGGACUACCAAGGCGAUGAUCAGUAGCCGGUCUGAGAGGAUGAACGGCCACAUUGGGACUGAGACACGGCCCAAACUCCUACGGGAGGCAGCAGUGGGGAAUCUUCCGCAAUGGACGAAAGUCUGACGGAGCAACGCCGCGUGAGUGAUGAAGGAUUUCGGUCUGUAAAGCUCUGUUGUUUAUGACGAACGUGCAGUGUGUGAACAAUGCAUUGCAAUGACGGUAGUAAACGAGGAAGCCACGGCUAACUACGUGCCAGCAGCCGCGGUAAUACGUAGGUGGCGAGCGUUGUCCGGAAUUAUUGGGCGUAAAGAGCAUGUAGGCGGCUUAAUAAGUCGAGCGUGAAAAUGCGGGGCUCAACCCCGUAUGGCGCUGGAAACUGUUAGGCUUGAGUGCAGG
rnacentral:rRNA from 1 species